GAUGCCAUAAUCUUACUUAAAGUUAGUCAAAGAGUAUCUAUAAUUUGACUAGGAAAGUCUUAUGAAAAGAUUAUAAAAAUCGGAUCUACCUUUUUUAAUAAUGUAAUGAAAAGAUUGUCAUGUGGAAACACAUCAAUACGAUGCUGUUUUAACAUCUUAGGUGGUUCCCUAGUUAAUUAAAUGGUCCGUCACUUGCCCCAAAACCAACUAGUCUAACCUUCUGUCUUUGAAAGAGAGUUCUGAUCUACGACCCAUCUCCUUCGUACCCGAGCCUGAAAUUUAUCUUCCGGACCCGAGCCUCGGAUUUGCUCCUGCGUCCGCCGUUGAAAAUUUUCGUACUCCCUUCGAUCACUUAUCUC